CCUGAACGCUGGCGGCGUGGCUAAGACAUGCAAGUCGCACGGUGUAGCAAUACACAGUGGCGAACGGGUGAGUAAUGAAUCGCUAAUGUACCCCGGACUCUGGGAUAGCUGCCCGAAAGGGCAGGUAAUACCAGAUGACAUCACCGCUCCGCAUGGAGCGGUGCUCAAAGGUCCGCCGGUCUGGGCGCAGGCGAUUUCGUAUCAGCUAGNGGUGCGGGUAACGGCCCACCAAGGCGACGACGCGUAGCCGGACUGAGAGGUUGGCCGGCCACAUUGGGACUGGAGACACUGCCCAGACUCCUACGGGGGGCUGCAGUAACGAAUCUUCCGCAAUGCACGCAAGUGUGACGGAGCGACGCCGCGUGUGGGACG
rnacentral:rRNA from 1 species